AUAUUUUAGCUGAUGUUUUAUCUGAAAAUAUUUUAGUUGAUUCCGCGAGCUAUUCUAUUCUUCACUGGUGAUGCUUGUGAGGACGAUGAUGAAUUCGAGGAUGUUGAGAGCGGGGAUGAUGAUACAGCUGAU